rnacentral:lncRNA from 1 species
GUUUCCUACAAGCAGUGCUGGAGACCAUGGUGGCCUUCAACCAGUGCUAUCUUUUCUUCUCAUUAUUUCCCCAAAUUUCAUUUUUCUUCUUAAAGAACUAGGUUUAUGGAUAAGGCUUGGAGUUGGUUGGAAAAUCAUUCCUCCUCGGCUGCUCAGUGACUAGUCAUUGAUUGGAUCUAAGGUAACUUUUUUUGUUUUUGAGACAGAGUUUCGCUUUUGCUGCCCAGGCUGGAGUGCAAUGCCGUGAUCUCGGCUCACCACAACCUUUGCCUCCCGGUUCAAGCAAUUCUCCUACCUCAGCCUCCUGAGUAGCUGGGAUUAAAGGUGCACACCACCACACCUGGCUAAUUUUUUUGUAUUUUUGUAGAGACGUCAGGAGCUCUUGACCACAUUCCUUUGUCCCUUUUCUUCCUAAGUCAUUGAUCUCUCCAUGUCUUCGUCUCUUAAAUAAUGGACUUGGACUUCUCCC